rnacentral:rRNA from 1 species
UUUGUUAGAGGCCAAGCAGGAAACAUGCUUUGCAUGUCUUAAACUUUCGACCUGAGCUCAGGCA